AUAACUACUGGCCAGGCACGGGAGCUCUGACAUCCUGCCUUCAUGGAUAACCUCCCUGGCUGCUGACUGCCUGUGGACCGGAGCUGCACCUUCUUCCUGAGUCUCCAGGCUGUGGGCCUCCUCCAUCACCUUUUAGGCUCACCGAGCCUCCACAGUUGUGUGAGGAUAGCAAGAUGGAUGUCAAGGUGACCUUGAUGGUCAGCAAACAGGAUCUGAGCACCUCUCUGCAGGGAACUCUGUGCAAUGGGAAGGCAAGACUGCCCAUUGCUGGAAAUAUGCAUCUGGGGCAAGACUUAUCACAGAGUUCUUUUGCACAAAUGGAGUAAUUCUGCUCAUCUUUACUUUUCCUUUAAGUGUAACAUUCUGGAAUCCUAGGAUUUUGGCAUUGGAAAAGACAUUAAAGCCUACGCGUCUGAUCCUGUUGUGUUGUACGUGAAGAGGAACAGAGGGUUAAGCCCUUUGUCCGGAGGGUUGUAUAGCCAGUACUGGCAAAGCACAGUUAGAACCUGGGCCUCCUGAAUCCUACACCUGGGCUCCAGGCUGCUCCUCCCAUUGAUAAAAUAUCAGGGUUUCCAUGUCCUAAUGAUAUUAUUCAAAUAGUCUUGGCCAAUUCCACUGAUGUUCUGACCUGAUAGAACCAUGCAAAAAGAAGGAACUGUGGGAGGCAGGAGACAUGGGAUCCGGUCCUGCUCUGCUCUCAGCUCCAUGUGGCCUUGGACAUAUGGGUGGGCCUUAGGUUUCUCAUAUAUACCCUGAGAAUUUGAAUCAGAUCAUUAUCUUCAAAUCCUAUUUCACAUAGGAAGGCCUGGUAUCCUAACUUUUGUUAGAAGUUUCUAUAGCUUAAAAUGGUUUGAAAACCAUUCUUUCCACUGGAUGAAAUAGUCGCUGAAGUUCUUUCUGUCUUUAAAAUAUUUUAGCUCUUUGAAAUGUACUUUAUGAAUUUCAUUUUUAAGUCACUUUCUCUAUGGGCUAACUGAUGAAAUAAGACACAAAGCUAUGACAAGUUAGAUAACAAACCAAAGUUUGCCACUGCUUCUCACAGUUGCAGAUUCAAAUGCCUUGGGGAUCAAGUAGGUAAUAUAAAAAGAGGCAGGAGUAAGUUAUGGGUUGUGUCUCCCUGCCCCCCACUGCGCCAAAUUCCUAUGUUGAAGUACUAAUCCCCAGUAUCUCAGAAUGUGACUAUAUCUAGAAUAGGGUCUUUAAAGAGGAAAUGGAGUUAAUAAGAGGUCAUCAGGGUGGGACCUAAUCCAAUAAGACUGGUGUCCUUGUAAGAAGCGGGAAUUCACGAAUUCGCCUGCAGACAGAUCUAGAUGAGAGAUCCUGUGAAGACAAAGGGAGAAGGUAGCUAUCCCUAAGCCUAAGAG